rnacentral:rRNA from 1 species
GCCUCAGUAACGGCGNAGUGAAGCGGCAACAGCUCAAAUUUGAAAUCUGGCUCCUCUGGGGCCCGAAUUGUAAUUUGUAGAGGAUGCUUCGGGUCUGGCCCCGGCCUAAGUUCCUUGGAACAGGACGUCACAGAGGGUGAGAAUCCCGUAUGUGGCUGGAGGUCUAUACCCAUGUGAAGCACCUUCGACGUGUCGAGUUGUUUGGGAAUGCAGCUCAAAAUGGGUGGUAAGUUUCAUCUAAAGCUAAAUACUGGCGGGAGACCGAUAGCGCACAAGUAGAGUGAUCGAAAGAUGAAAAGCACUUUGGAAAGAGAGUUAAAAAGUACGUGAAAUUGUUGAAAGGGAAGCGCUUGCAACCAGACUUGCCCUUAGUUGAUCAACUGGUGUUCUUCACCCGUGCACUCGGCUAAGGUCAGGCCAGCAUCGGUUUAGGCGGUUGGAGAAAGACCAUAGGAAUGUAGCUCCCUCCGGGGAGUGUUAUAGCCUGCGGUGUCAUGCAACCAGUUUAGACCGAGGACCGCGCCUUUUGGCUAGGAUGCUGGCGUAAUGGUUGUAAGCGACCCGUCUUGAAACACGGACCAAGGAGUCUAACAUCUAUGCGAGUGUUUGGGUGUCAAACCCAUGCGCGUAAUGAAAGUGAACGGAGGUGGGAACCCUUAAGGGUGCACCAUCGACCGAUCCUGAUGUCUUCGGAUGGAUUUGAGUAUGAGCAUAGCUGUUGGGGACCCGAAAGAUGGUGAACUAUGCCUGAAUAGGGUGAAGCCAGAGGAAACUCUGGUGGANGCUCGCAGCGGUUCUGACGUGCAAAUCGAUCGUCAAAUUUGGGGUAUAGGGGGCGAA